rnacentral:pre_miRNA from 1 species
UUUGUACUCGCUCCGUCCCAAAAUUCUUGUCUUACAUUUGUCUAUAUAUGAAUGUAUCUAGUCAUGUUUUAGUAUUUGGAUACAUUCAUUUUUAGACAAACCUAAGACAAGAAUUUUGGGACGGAGGGAGUAUGAA